CUCGGAGUUUGAUCCUGGCUCAGAUUGAACGCUGGCGGAAUGCUUUACACAUGGAAGUCGAACGGUAGAGGGGGCAACCCCUCGAGAGUGGCGAACGGGUGAGUAAUAUAUCGGAACGUGCCCAGUCGUGGGGGUAUAACGUAGUGAAAAUUACGCUAAUACCGCAUACGAUCUAAGGAUGAAAGCGGGGGAUCGCAAGACCUCGCGCGAUUGGAGCGGCCGAUAUCAGAUUAGGUAGUUGGUGAGGUAAAGGCUCACCAAGCCAACGAUCUGUAGCUGGUCUGAGA
rnacentral:rRNA from 1 species